UGUCAGCAGCCGCGGUAAUACGUAGGGUCCAAGCGUUAAUCGGAAUUACUGGGCGUCAAGCGUGCGCAGGCGGUUGUGCAAGACCGAUGUGAAAUCCCCGGGCUUAACCUGGGAAUUGCAUUGGUGACUGCACGGCUAGAGUGUGUCAGAGGGGGGUAGAAUUCCACGUGUAGCAGUGAAAUGCGUAGAGAUGUGGAGGAAUACCGAUGGCGAAGGCAGCCCCCUGGGAUAACACUGACGCUCAUGCACGAAAGCGUGGGGAGCAAACAGGAUUAGAUACCCUGGUAGUCCACGCCCUAAACGAUGUCAACUAGUUGUUGGGGAUUCAUUUCCUUAGUAACGUAGCUAACGCGUGAAGUUGACCGCCUGGGGAGUACGGUCGCAAGAUUAAAACUCAAAUAAAUUGGCGG
rnacentral:rRNA from 1 species